GCGGUAUCGUUCAGUUGGCUGGAAUGUUCGGUUUAUAUCCGAAGGGACUCCGGUUUGAAUCUAGUUACCGCUCCA
rnacentral:tRNA from 1 species